AAUGGGGGCAACCCUGAUCCAGCCAUGCCGCGUGUGUGAAGAAGGCCUUAGGGUUGUAAAGCUCUUUCACCUGUGAAGAUAAUGACAGUAGCAGAAGAAGAAGCUCCGGCUAAAUUCGUGCCAGCAGCCGCGGUAAUACGAAGGGAGCGAGCGUUGUUCGGAAUCACUGGGCGUAAAGGGUGCGCAGGCGGUCAUGAAAGUCAGAAGUGAAAUCCCAGGGCUUAACCCUGGAAUGGCUUUUGAAACUCCAUGUCUAGAGUUUGGGAGAGGUAGGCGGAAUUCCGAGUGUAGAGGUGAAAUUCGCAGAUAUUCGGAGGAACACCAAUGGCGUAGGCAGCCAACUGGACAAUUACUGACGCUCAGGCACGAAAGUGUGGGGAUCAAACAGGAUU
rnacentral:rRNA from 1 species